rnacentral:rRNA from 1 species
UGGCGAACGGGGUGAGUAACACGUGGGCAACCUGCCCAAAAGAGGGGGAUAACACUUGGAACAGGUGCUAAUACCGCAUAACCAUAGUUACCGCAUGGUAACUAUGUAAAAGGUGGCUAUGCUACCGCUUUUGGAUGGGCCCGCGGCGCAUUAGCUAGUUGGUGGGGUAAAAGGGCUUACCAAGGCAAUGAUGCGUAGCCGAACUGAGAGGUUGAUCGGCCACAUUGGGACUGAGACACGGCCCAAACUCCUACGGGAGGCAGCAG